UUCCCAUUGUGUUUUUGCAACAGCUGUAAGGUAGGUAAACCUUGCAGCUGGCAGGUGUUAUUCUGUAGGUCUUCAUGCCCUGAUAUAUCCCUGGUCUGUGGAUCAAGACAACAUGGUGAAUCCGAGGAGUCUGGCAACUUCAUAUCCGCAAGGAGGAAUCGUGUGGGAGUGAUUGUUUUUCAAUCUUGAGCUAGCAGGAUUGUUACCUGACAGUUGUUUCUGGGUUGAGAGAAAUGGAGGCAGUGGAUCAUAGUACGGAAGUGACCUCAGAUGACAAUUACCUGCAUAUGACUGAUACUGGAUAACAACUUCCGAUGGAACAAAUGAGAUUAAAUAUGUUCAUUAACACUUUUCUUGGUUGUAAAACUUUAUAGUUUUAGAAUCGAAGACAAUCAUUUUGGAAGAGAAACAUGUAUGAUGUUAGUGUCAACCAAAGAAACAACCAUUAGAAGCAAACAAAGUAUUUCAGUUGUGGAAAUGGUGAUCUUCUUUGAAUCUUGUUGUACAAAGGUUAAGGUCUUUUUUGGCACCAAAAAGAGGGUAGCUUGCAAAUAUUCUGAGCAGUUAAACAGACGAAAAGUUAAUAUAUCCAGAAUUUACAACAGACUAAUAAGAAAAACCAUCAGGAAUAGAAUAGUCAACAUCAUGACUAUUACUGUAGGUCUGCAGUUCUAGUGCUUUGAAGGAACGCUCAGUUACAGAAAAAUUGUUUGAAUAGCUAUGAUACAGAUAAGAGGAAAGAACUACUUGUACAGUGUUGAGUUUGAAUUUUAGGAGCCUUGCUGACAGACCUUUAACAAUGCCAGAACCAGAUAGUUUCUUCCCAAAAUAGCAACAGACUGAUACCAGAGUGAUAGAAAUAGACGGAUACAAGACUAAAGCAAUAUUUCUUGACUUUCAAACAGCUCAAAAUCUUAUUGAAGAAUGCGCCAUGGAGUACUGUUUGAUUAUCCUUUACCAGAAGAAGGUAUGAA